CAACGCAAGCCUUUGCUCAUUUGCAUAACAAUUGUAGGGGUGUGGUAUUUUACGCAGCAGAUCACUUGUUGCAAGAGACACAGGUGUGAGUGCUUGUGAGUUUGCAGGUGCUUUGUGAACCAUGUGAGCGGCCUCUGUUCGUGACUGACAGUUACGCCUUUAUGCCAAUCAAACCACAAAUUGUGGGGCUUCAUUCUUAUAUAGCCAUAUCCAAAAACAAAAACAUUUUGGACAAACAGAAAACCUCUUAUGGAGAGUGUCCAACUCGUUCUGCCAUCCUCUUUCUUUGUCCCACUUGGUUUGUGACAGCACCAAGACAGCUCAGAGAGUUUCUCAGAAAUGUUAAGUGUAGCCCCUACUCACAAACACGGGUCGUUCAAAGCCCUCAUGUUUGCAUACACAUGUGCUUCACAUGCCUCUCCAUGACCACUGUAUUGCUUUUUAAAACCAGUGUUUUUAUGGGUUUGAAUAUGUAUGCCCAAAACAAGUUGCAACACAGUUGUUUUUCCUAAGCGCACACAAAAGAUAACCACCCAUUCAGCUGGGCUCUAAGCUGCUCAAACACUGCUACCUGAAUCAACCCGUAAGGGAGAAUCAACAUGAGUUCUCUGACUGAACUAAAUAAAUACUGCAUCUAGA